rnacentral:tRNA from 1 species
AGGACACGUGCCCGAAAAUAGGGGCCACUUUGA